AUAAACGCUGGCGGCGCACAUCAGCCCUGCCGGUUGAACGGACUUAAUCGAAAUAUUUAUAUUUUGAAGCGGUUAGUGGCGGACUGGUGAGUAACGCGUAAGGAACCUGCCUAUUAGAGGGGAAUAACAGUGAGAAAUCAUUGCUAAUACCGCAUAUGCCAUAGAUAUCACAUGAUAACAGUGGGAAAGGAGCAAUCCGCUAAUAGAUGGCCUUGCGUCUGAUUAGAUAGUUGGUGGGGUAACGGCCUACCAAGUCGACGAUCAGUAGCCGGACUGAGAGGUUGAGCGGCCACAUUGGGACUGAGGUACGGCCCAGAAUCCUACGGGAAGGAGCAGUCGGGAAUAUUACGCAAUGGAGGUAACUCUGACGCAGUGACGCCGCGUAUAGGAAGAAGGUUUUCGAAUUGUAAACUAUUGUCGUUAGGGAAGAGAAAGGACGGUACCUAAGGAGGAAGCUCCGGCUAACUACGUG
rnacentral:rRNA from 1 species